AUGAAGAAAAAAAUAGAGAAUUUCCUCCUUGCAAGCAUUGUGGAAAAUUCGGUCAUCCUCCUUUCAAAUGUUGGAGAAGACCUGAUGUGAAGUGUGACAAGUGCAACAAACUUGGGCAUCACGAGAGAAUUUGCAGAAGCAAUUUUCAACAAAGUAAUGAGGCUCAAGCUGAAGAUCAAGAAGAAGAAGAAGAAGAGGAAGAGCAGUUGUUUGUAGCAACAUGUUUUACAAGCAGUAGCUCAAGUGAAUGUUGGCUAGUGGAUAGUGGUUGUACCCAUCACAUGACCCAUGAUAAAGAAAUAUUCAGAGAGCUGGACAUAUCACAAAUAUCAAAAGUCAGAAUCGGUAAUGGUAAACUGAUUGCU
rnacentral:lncRNA from 1 species